AUGUAACAAGUUGUUGUAAGUAAUGUUUUUGAUGUUACUCAAAGAAAAAUAAAUGUCGCUAUAAUUGAAUCUCUCAAAUCUGCACAAUGGAAAACUAUUUUAAUAUUCUAGAAGAAAACUGUGAACAAGACAGUGCACCCGCAGCAUGUACACAUGCCAAGAUUCUAAUGAGAUCAUAAAACACAUUAUUCCCUCAAUUAUCAUGAGGUCAAGGUUCCUGGGGGUUGUGGUUUCAUAAUAAAGGCAUGCGUUUACAGUCUGUGGAGGAAGAUGAUGGAGCGAAAUUCUUCCCAGCCACCCCACCUAUUAUAAAUGGAAGGAAUGGACUUUCAUUUUAAGCAACAGUAAAAAAGGGUGUAUUGCCCAUAAAGAAAACAAGAGAUCUAAGACGUCACCCAACUACAGAAAACGGAGCGAAUGUUACCUACAGAAAUCCAAUAGACUUCUCGCUUGCUUUUGCAAAUGGACCUUGAGGAGACUUUCCCUACGAGCUCGUCAGCUAUGCCCAAGCAUGUAUAAAUCACGGCGGUGAACACGGCUUAUUCACCUACUGGAACUCUUGCUAAUCAGCAAUUCAGGAAAGAAGCAAGAAACAUGAAGAUAAGAGUUGAGAGGAAAAUAGGGAGCCAAGGUUAACUCCGGAUUUAUGACUCUUUCAUGGGCUGGAUUUUGAUUCCAUUUUCUAAAAGACAGGGUGAGUAAGCAGGAACCUUCACCACAUGCUCCCAGCUGUCAAGCAAUGGAACCAGCUGACAAUGCACUGAAACCUCUGAAACUGAGCCAGAAAUAAACCUUCCCUCCCUUUAGGUUGAUUUGCUCAGGCAUUUUGUCGCAGUGGUGAAAGUGAACACAAAAAUGCAAGCAUUUGUAAAGGGCUACGGGGCACACAGUGAACAUUAUACACACAAGCUUUCCCCAAGGAAGAGUACAUGGAAGAAGAAAUGA